AGCUUGAACAAGAUUUAGCCAACAAUGGAAAAGACCCUUCCGUAAUUGACGUGUAGUGUUAAUAUAUUUGGAGGACCUUUUGGAGUUGCAAGACGAGAAGCUUACUUCAACUAUGAGAGAACAACAACAACGGGCACUUGAGUUUUGGGAGUUGCAUUAAUGUUUGGCAUUCUGCAGUACCCCUCAAAAUAAAGCGUCUUGCUCGGGUAUUUUGUAGUAGUAUUAAGUACUUUUCGGCACAAAAUGGAAGUGGUUUUUGUUAAAUGGUUGGGCGCAAAGUUUUGUUUCUGUAAGUGGUCUUGAAUGUUGAACUAUUGGAUUGGUUACGAAGUUUGUCUCUUUAGUGUUUCCUCAGUUUUAUCCAACACUGUUUACUAUUAAUACUUUGUAUUGUUGUGGACUUGUUUAUUCAUUAAUGCAGCUAUU